GACUGUGAUAGUGCUGAGCCAAAGGCCAGACUGUGAGAGUGCUGAGCCGGGGUAAGCUUGGUGCUACCUCUUUUCUUUUGUUUGUUAUUUUCUUUGAAUAAGAGGAUUGAAAGUUUCUAAAUAUUGUGAAGUGAAUUAUGGAAUGGAAAUGUGAUUGGUAUUAUUUGAGAAGAAGAAAGAUUGAAUGCUGAAAUCUGAUUGUAAUUCAGUAGAGAGAAUGAGUCUAUGUUUGUGUGAAACACUGUAAUGUGAAUGGCAGUUCUGUGUGAAGAAUUCCAGGGAUUGGAACGAGGGUAAUUGUGUGCUCAAAGCUGUGAGGGUGCAGUAUUACAGUUGGAGAUUAUGAGGAUGAAUAUAUUGGUGGAAAUAGGAGUUAUUGGUAUGAUUGAAUUGCUGUAAGGAAGAGAUCGAUAAGGUGAAGGAGGAGAUUAUAGUUUCCUUGUGUGUUCAGAUAUUAGAAAU
rnacentral:lncRNA from 1 species